GACGAACGCUGGCGGCGUGCCUAAUACAUGCAAGUCGAACGCUGAAGGAGGAGCUUGCUUCUCUGGAUGAGUUGCGAACGGGUGAGUAACGCGUAGGUAACCUGCCUGGUAGCGGGGGAUAACUAUUGGAAACGAUAGCUAAUACCGCAUAAUAGUAGAUGUUGCAUGACAUUUGCUUAAAAGGUGCAAUUGCAUCACUACCAGAUGGACCUGCGUUGUAUUAGCUAGUUGGUGAGGUAACGGCUCACCAAGGCAACGAUACAUAGCCGACCUGAGAGGGUGAUCGGCCACACUGGGACUGAGACACGGCCCAGACUCCUACGGGAGGCAGCAGUAGGGAAUCUUCGGCAAUGGACGGAAGUCUGACCGAGCAACGCCGCGGGAGUGAAGAAGGUUGUCGGAUCGUAAAGCUCUGUUGUAAGAGAAGAACGAGUGUGAGAGUGGAAAGUUCACACUGUGACGGUAGCUUACCAGAAAGGGACGGCUAACUACGUG
rnacentral:rRNA from 1 species